rnacentral:rRNA from 1 species
UGCAGUCGAGCGGUAGCACAGAGAGCUUGCUGCUCGGGUGACGAGCGGCGGACGGGUGAGUAAUGUCUAGGGAAACUGCCUGAUGGAGGGGGAUAACUACUGGAAACGGUAGCUAAUACCGCAUAACGUCGCAAGACCAAAGUGGGGGACCUUCGGGCCUCAUGCCAUCAGAUGUGCCCAGAUGGGAUUAGCUAGUAGGUGGGGUAACGGCUCACCUAGGCGACGAUCCCUAGCUGGUCUGAGAGGAUGACCAGCCACACUGGAACUGAGACACGGUCCAGACUCCUACGGGAGGCAGCAGAGGGGAAUAUUGCACAAUGGGCGCAAGCCUGAUGCAGCCAUGCCGCGUGUGUGAAGAAGGCCUUCGGGUUGUAAAGCACUUUCAGCGGGGAGGAAGGCGGUGAGGUUAAUAACCUCAUCGAUUGACGUUACCCGCAGAAGAAGCACCGGCUAACUCCGUGCCAGCAGCCGCGGUAAUACGGAGGGUGCAAGCGUUAAUCGGAAUUACUGGGCGUAAAGCGCACGCAGGCGGUCUGUCAAGUCGGAUGUGAAAUCCCCGGGCUCAACCUGGGAACUGCAUUCGAAACUGGCAGGCUAGAGUCUUGUAGAGGGGGGUAGAAUUCCAGGUGUAGCGGUGAAAUGCGUAGAGAUCUGGAGGAAUACCGGUGGCGAAGGCGGCCCCCUGGACAAAGACUGACGCUCAGGUGCGAAAGCGUGGGGAGCAAACAGGAUUAGAUACCCUGGUAGUCCACGCUGUAAACGAUGUCGAUUUGGAGGUUGUGCCCUUGAGGCGUGGCUUCCGGAGCUAACGCGUUAAAUCGACCGCCUGGGGAGUACGGCCGCAAGGUUAAAACUCAAAUGAAUUGACGGGGGCCCGCACAAGCGGUGGAGCAUGUGGUUUAAUUCGAUGCAACGCGAAGAACCUUACCUGGUCUUGACAUCCACAGAACUUUCCAGAAAAUGGAUUGGUGCCUUCGGGAACUGUGAGACAGGUGCUGCAUGGCUGUCGUCAGCUCGUGUUGUGAAAUGGUUGGGUUAAGUCCCGCAACGAGCGCAACCCUUAUCCUUUGUUGCCAGCGGUCAGGCCGGGAACUCAAAGGAAACUGCCAUGAUAAAUGGAGGAGAAAGGGGGGGGAUAA